UCCCUGGUGGCCUAAUGGCUAAGGGUUCAGCAUUAUCACUCCUGUGAUGCAGGUUCAAUCCCUGGCCCAGGAA
rnacentral:tRNA from 1 species